AGAGUUUGAUCAUGGCUCAGAACGUACGCUGGCGGCACGCCUAAUACAUGCAAGUCGAACGAAGUAGUAAUACUUAGUGGCAGACGGGUGAGUAACAUGUAGGUAUCUUCCCAUUGGUGAGGAAUAACACGAGGAAACUUGUGCUAAUACCUCAUAAGUCUUUACGGAGAAAGCUUUAUGCGCCGAUGGAUGAGCCUGCACUUGAUUAGUUUGUUGGUAGGGUAAUGGCCUACCAAGACAAUGAUCAAUAGCUGAUUUGAGAGGAUGAUCAGCCACAUUGGGACUGAGACACGGCCCAAACUCCUACGGGAGGCAGCAGUAGGGAAUCUUGCACAAUGGGGGAAACCCUGAUGCAGCGAUGCCGCGUGAGUGAAGAAGGCCUUUGGGUUGUAAAGCUCUUUCGUCGGGGAAGAAAAUGACUGUACCCGAAUAAGAAGGUCCGGCUAACUUCGUGCCAGCAGCCGCGGUAAUACGAAGGGACCUAGCGUAGUUCGGAAUUACUGGGCUUAAAGAGUUCGUAGGUGGUUAAAAAAGUUGGUGGUGAAAUCCCAGAGCUUAACUCUGGAACUGCCAUCAAAACUUUUUAGCUAGAGUAUGAUAGAGGAAAGCAGAAUUUCUAGUGUAGAGGUGAAAUUCGUAGAUAUUAGAAAGAAUACCAAUUGCGAAGGCAGCUUUCUGGAUCAUUACUGACACUGAGGAACGAAAGCAUGGGUAGCGAAGAGGAUUAGAUACCCUCGUAGUCCAUGCCGUAAACGAUGUGUGUUAGACGUUGGAAAUUUAUUUUCUGUGUCGCAGCGAAAGCAAUAAACACACCGCCUGGGGAGUACGACCGCAAGGUUAAAACUCAAAUGAAUUGACGGGGACCCGCACAAGUAGUGGAGCAUGUGGUUUAAUUCGAAGAUACGCGCAGAACCUUACCAACACUUGACAUGUUCGUCGCGACUUUAAGAGAUUAAAGUUUUCGGUUCGGCCGGACGAAACACAGGUGCUGCAUGGCUGUCGUCAGCUCGUGUCGUGAGAUGUUGGGUUAAGUCCCGCAACGAGCGCAACCCUCACUUUUAGUUGCCAUCAUUUAGUUGGGCACUCUGAAAGAACUGCCAGUGAUAAGCUGGAGGAAGGUGGGGAUGACGUCAAGUCCUCAUGGCCCUUACGUGUUGGGCUACACACGUGCUACAAUGGCAUUUACAAUAGGAAGCGAGACGGCGACGUUAAGCAAAUCCUAAAAAAAUGCCUCAGUUCGGAUUGUACUCUGCAACUCGAGUACAUGAAGCUGGAAUUACUAGUAAUCGCGGAUCAGCGCGCCGCGGUGAAUACGUUCCCGGGUCUUGUACACACCGCCCGUCACACCAUGGGAGUUGGUUCUACCUUAAGGCAAAGUUUAAUACCUUUGACCACGGUAUAGUCAGCGACUGGGGUGAAGUCAUAACAAGGUAGCCGUA
rnacentral:rRNA from 1 species